CGUGAUGCUUGCAAGUUCUACGGGGAGC
rnacentral:piRNA from 1 species